AUGAACGCUGGCGGCGUGCCUAAUACAUGCAAGUCGAGCGAACGGACGAGAAGCUUGCUUCUCUGAUGUUAGCGGCGGACGGGUGAGUAACACGUGGAUAACCUACCUAUAAGACUGGGAUAGCUUCGGGAAACCGGAGCUAAUACCGGAUAAUAUUUUGAACCGCAUGGUUCAAAAGUGAAAGACGGUCUUGCUGUCACUUAUAGAUGGAUCCGCGCUGCAUUAGCUAGUUGGUAAGGUAACGGCUUACCAAGGCAACGAUGCAUAGCCGACCUGAGAGGGUGAUCGGCCACACUGGAACUGAGACACGGUCCAGACUCCUACGGGAGGCAGCAGUAGGGAAUCUUCCGCAAUGGGCGAAAGCCUGACGGAGCAACGCCGCGUGAGUGAUGAAGGUCUUCGGAUCGUAAAACUCUGUUAUUAGGGAAGAACAUAUGUGUAAGUAACUGUGCACAUCUUGACGGUACCUAAUCAGAAAGCCACGGCUAACUACGUG
rnacentral:rRNA from 1 species